GUGGGGAAUAUUGGACAAUGGGCGAAAGCCUGAUCCAGCCAUGCCGCGUGAGUGAUGAAGGCCUUAGGGUUGUAAAGCUCUUUCAGUGGGGAAGAUAAUGACGGUACCCACAGAAGAAGCCCCGGCUAACUUCGUGCCAGCAGCCGCGGUAAUACGAAGGGGGCUAGCGUUGUUCGGAUUUACUGGGCGUAAAGCGCACGUAGGCGGGUCGUUAAGUCGGGGGUGAAAUCCUGGAGCUCAACUCCAGAACUGCCUUCGAUACUGGCGAUCUUGAGUCCGGAAGAGGUGAGUGGAACUCCUAGUGUAGAGGUGGAAUUCGUAGAUAUUAGGAAGAACACCAGUGGCGAAGGCGGCUCACUGGUCCGGUACUGACGCUGAGGUGCGAAAGCGUGGGGAGCAAACAGGAUUAGAUACCCGUGUAGUCC
rnacentral:rRNA from 1 species